CCUACGGGUGGCUGCAGUGGGGAAUAUUGGACAAUGGGCGAAAGCCUGAUCCAGCCAUGCCGCGUGUGUGAAGAAGGCCUUCAGGUUGUAAAGCACUUUCAGUGGGGAAGAAAGCCUUGGGGCUAAUACCCUCGAGGAAGGACAUCACCCACAGAAGAAGCACCGGCUAACUCCGUGCCAGCAGCCGCGGUAAUACGGAGGGUGCGAGCGUUAAUCGGAAUUACUGGGCGUAAAGCGCGCGUAGGCGGUCUGAUAAGCCGGUUGUGAAAGCCCCGGGCUCAACCUGGGAACGGCAUCCGGAACUGUCAGGCUAGAGUGCAGGAGAGGAAGGUAGAAUUCCCGGUGUAGCGGUGAAAUGCGUAGAGAUCGGGAGGAAUACCAGUGGCGAAGGCGGCCUUCUGGACUGACACUGACGCUGAGGUGCGAAAGCGUGGGUAGCAAACAGGAUUAGAUACCCGAGUAGUC
rnacentral:rRNA from 1 species